AGUCGUACGAGAAAUCUUCAGCUUGCUGAAGAGAGUAAAGUGGCGCACGGGUGAGUAACGCGUGGAUAAUCUACCCUUGAAUCGGGGAUAACAUUGCGAAAGCGAUGCUAAUACCGGAUAACAUCAUAAAAGCUUCGGCUUUAAUGAUCAAAGAUGACCUCUACCUGUAAGUUGUUGUUUGAGGAGGAGUCCGCGUACCAUUAGCUUGUUGGUAGGGUAACGGCCUACCAAGGCCGCGAUGGUUAGCUGGUCUGAGAGGAUGAUCAGCCACACUGGAACUGACACACGGUCCAGACUCCUACGGGAGGCAGCAGUGAGGAAUUUUGCGCAAUGGGGGCAACCCUGACGCAGCAACGCCGCGUGAGUGAUGAAGGCUUUAGGGUCGUAAAGCUCUGUCAAGUGGGAAGAAGCUACCUGGGAGUAAUAUGUCCGGGUAUUGACGGUACCACUGAAGGAAGCACCGGCUAACUCCGUGCCAGCAGCCGCGGUAAUACGGGGGGUGCAAGCGUUAUUCGGAAUCAUUGGGCGUAAAGGGCACGCAGGCGGCCUGGUAAGUCAGAUGUGAAAGCCCGGGGCUUAACCCCGGAAGUGCAUUUGAAACUAUCAGGCUUGAGUAUGGGAGAGGGAAGUGGAAUUCCUGGUGUAGAGGUGAAAUUCGUAGAUAUCAGGAGGAACACCGGUGGCGAAGGCGACUUCCUGGACCAAUACUGACGCUGAGGUGCGAAGGCGUGGGGAGCAAACAGGAUUAGAUACCCUGGUAGUCCACGCAGUAAACGUUGUUCACUAG
rnacentral:rRNA from 1 species